UCGAGAAUCUUCCGCAAUGGGCGAAAGCCUGACCGAGCGAUGCCGCGUGCGGGAUGAAGGCCUUCGGGUUGUAAACCGCUGUCGUAGGGGAGAAAGGGUCGUUGAAGAAACGACUUUGAUCUAUCCUAGGAGGAAGUCCGGGCUAAGUUCGUGCCAGCAGCCGCGGUAACACGAACCGGACAAACGUUAUUCGGAAUUACUGGGCUUAAAGGGUGCGUAGGCGGUGCGGUAAGUGCGGUGUGAAAUCCCACGGCCCAACCGUGGAAUUGCGCUGCAUACUGCCGUGCUAGAGGGAGACAGGGGUAAGCGGAACUGAUGGUGGAGCGGUGAAAUGCGUUGAUAUCAUCAGGAACACCGGUGGCGAAAGCGGCUUACUGGGUCUCUUCUGACGCUGAGGCACGAAAGCUAGGGUAGCGAACGGGAUUAGAUACCCUAGUAGUCCCUGAGCGGGCUGGCAAGGCGCAU
rnacentral:rRNA from 1 species